GACGAACGCUGGCGGCGUGCUUAACACAUGCAAGUCGAACGGUAAGGCCCUUCGGGGUACACGAGUGGCGAACGGGUGAAUAACACGUGGGUGAUCUGCCCUGCACUUCGGGAUAAGCCUGGGAAACUGGGUCUAAUACCGGAUAGGACUCCGGACUGCAUGGUCUGGGGUGGAAAGCUUUUGCGGUGUGGGAUGGGCCCGCGGCCUAUCAGCUUGUUGGUGGGGUGAUGGCCUACCAAGGCGACGACGGGUAGCCGGCCUGAGAGGGUGACCGGCCACACUGGGACUGAGAUACGGCCCAGACUCCUACGGGAGGCAGCAGUGGGGAAUAUUGCACAAUGGGCGCGAGCCUGAUGCAGCGACGCCGCGUGAGGGAUGACGGCCUUCGGGUUGUAAACCUCUUUCAGCAUCGACGAAGCGAAAGUGACGGCAGGUGCAGAAGAAGGACCGGCCAACUACGUGCCAGCCGCCGCAGUAA
rnacentral:rRNA from 1 species